GGGGAGUGGGCAGGGGUAGAGGGGUAGAGGGGUUAGUGCAAGUGAACUCAACUUCUGCGUCCGUGUGAGCUGCACUAUAUUCUCAAUUGCACCUAACUUUAGUCGUGCACCGUGAUUUGUUCCAGGGAAAGAAGAAGAAGAAGAAGAAAAAAAAUCGAUUUAAAGGUUUGUGUGUUUGACGGACUGGGACCUGGGAGAGAAAAGAUUUAUGAGAAAUUAUAAGAAAAAAGAAAAAGACGAAGAAAACUACUUGGGACUGACGGUGCGCCCUCUCAGCUUGUCAGUAUUUAAUGUGUGAGCUCUAAAAGCAGACCAGCCAGAGCCGGAGCGGAGCGGAGCAGAGCAGGCGGGCCAGACGGGCCGGGCCCUCCUCCCCCUCCCCUCUUUACAUCUUCCACCCCAGUCCUCGAUCACGUCCCGGGUCAGGCCUGCCCUUCCCUUCCCUUCCCUUCCCCGUGGUGUCCGUGCGCACCGUAGCCCACUUCCUGCUCUGAUCACAUAGCACCUUAUUUAGGACCCGCAGCAGCAGCAGCAGCAGCAGCAGCAGCGGCCGCUCCACUCAUGUUGCUGGUGAGUGUUUCGUUUCUGUUUCUGUUUCAUGUGGCCGAGGUCAAGAGGGGCCACGUCUUACAAAUAAAAAAAAAAAAAAGAGAGAGACUCACUCAAUGCACGUACGGAACUUUAUGUAAAUGUAAAUGCGUAAAAGCGUCUGAACUGAGAAGUAAAGUCCGUGCCCAGUCAGUUGCAUCCUUCCAGUGUGUGUUUUCUUUUCUUUUUUGUUUUUUUUUAAAUCAUGUGAUGCGUUCAUUUCUUGAUGCAGCUUGAACAGCUCUGGUGUGUAAUGACUCACUGUGACGUGGAGGAAUAGAUAAGUGCAGGAUGUCAGACUCAUUAAGUUGUCGUAAUGUGGACGUGCAGAUGCUCACUCUCAUAUCCACAUGGAGGAGGUUCUGUUAGAGGCUGACGGGUUUUUUUUCUUUUUUUCAUCUAAAAGGAGAUUUAUUUAGUUUUACUUUUAUUUAUUUUUUAUUAUUUUAAAUCCCUCAGCACCAUAAUCUUUUAAUGUGCCGCGGUGAGAUUGGAGUCCUCCGGAAUAUGGAACAGGUGAAAAUAAUGAUAACAUUUUAAAAUCAAUGAGUAGAGGUGCAGGUGUAGUACCUUCCUCGUCCACAGGUGGGCACCGGUGUCCUCUGCCCCCACCCCCCUCCACCCCCACCUCCACCUCCAGGCUCCAGGCUCGUCCAGACAGUGGGAACCAAACAAGGGUUUUAAUCUUAUCUAACCCCCACAAAGCCAGACAGCUCUAAAUCUUCUCAGGAUAAUCCAAUCCUACACAAUUAAUCAUAAUAUCGUAACCCACCGCGGCCGCGCUCCUUAAUUCCAACGCGCAGUCACGUGAUUCUUAUUCUUACAUAUUCUUAUUUCUAAUGACGCUCUUUGUUCCGCGCACUUUGAGGAGGAGCUGUUGUAACGAAGAGUAAUUUCCCCUCAGGAUUAAUUAAGUCAGUCUGAAAUACACUUUAAGUGCGUGUAAACGUAAAUAAACACACGCAACAACUGCACUUAAACUUCUAACUACACUGAUGCUGCUAUAAAAACAAUAUAUGUUUAUAAUUUUUGCAUAUUUUCGGUUUUGUAUAUACUUGUGUUUUUGUUGCACUGAAAAUGAGAAGCUUUACACUGUAUAAUGACAAUAAAGGCCAUUCUGUUCUA